UACGAAGGGUGCAAGCGUUACUCGGAAUUACUGGGCGUAAAGCGUGCGUAGGUGGUUCGUUAAGUCUGAUGUGAAAGCCCUGGGCUCAACCUGGGAAUGGCAUUGGAUACUGGCGACCUAGAGUGCGGUAGAGGGGUGUGGAAUUCCCGGUGUAGUGGUGAAAUGCGUAGAUAUCGAGAGGAACACCUGCGGCGAAGGCGGGUAGCUGGGCCGACACUGACGCUGAGGCGCAAAAGCCAGGGGAGCGAACGGG
rnacentral:rRNA from 1 species